GUGGUUGUGGCUCAGUGGUAGAGAGCUUGCCUAGCAUGUAUGAGGCACUAGGUUCAAUCCUCAGCAGCACA
rnacentral:tRNA from 1 species